UUGCAAGAAUUCACUUGAUGCUAUGUUUAAUGAACUUGAGAGUUGGCUGAUUUGCAUGUGUGAAUGCAUGAUGAUGAGUGUAGGGAUGAAAAGAGUUGAAUAGGCCUAGAGAAGCUGGAGUAUAAUAAGAGAGGAUGUACUAAUGCUGAAUUUAGAUGUUGAUUUGAGUGCUUUAUGUGUUUCUUUUGGCUAUGAGCUCUCACCUUCAAACCUCUCUCCCUAUGAGUUCUAGAAAGUUCACUUGUGGACAAGUAAAAGAACAAGUUUGGGGGAGUUGAUAUCUUGCAUAUUUGCAUUGUUUUAUCUAUUCAUCCAUGUGCAUUUUCAUCAUAGAGAUU
rnacentral:lncRNA from 1 species